UGGAACAAUGAUGAGACUGCAUCAUAAAGCAAGGCUAUGAUUAGUCUAGUUCUGUGCACCUGAGGGCCAUU
rnacentral:snoRNA from 1 species